UUAGGGUACAUUAUUAUUGCAAAGGAGAUGAGAGGCCUUUUUCAACAAUGUACUUGCAAAUGAUUAUUAAAUGUAGUCGUCUUUCAUAAUUUUACAAAACAGCUUUGAGGAAUUGAACAUUCUUACCCAACUUUUCUAAGGUAGCGUUUACUUUUUGGAUUGGAUUGGGAAUACUGAGGAGUGAGAAUCUUAGGAUUGGGAGUGUGGAGUGGGAGUGAGAGUAGAUUGUUUACUUACACUGGAAUAGAAGCAUGGAAUGGAGAUCAGAAUCCAAUUUAUGUGUUUACUUUGUCUUGGAUUGGGAGUAAAUAGUUUCAAAUUAUAAUUUUAUCUUUAUUUAAAGAAUUAUAGUUUUUAAUUACAAAACUAAUAAAAAAUAUAUUUAAUGAAUAAUAUUUAUUUUAUUAUAUUUGUAAAUUUAUUAUAAUUAUUAAUAUUCUUAAUUAUGAACAAUAAAUUAUUAAUUGUAAUUUUAAUAUAAAAUGAAAUGUUAUUUUAUUUUAUUUAAUAUAAUUAUAUUAAAUUUAUUAUUAUAUAAAAUAAUAAUAUAAUAUUAUUUAGUACAAAAUUAAUAUUUUCUUAGAAUAAAGUAUUUAUUAUUAUUAUUAAAUAAAUAUAGUACUAUUAUUUUUAAAAUAAAUAUAAUAAUAUUAUAUUUAUUAAUUCUCUAUUAAUAUAAUAAUAUUAUUUUAAAAUAAUUUUAACUUAGAAUCAAUGUAAAUUAUUAUUUAGUUAAAUAUAAUAUUAUUUAUUUUAUUUUAUUAAUUAUAAAACAUAAAAUAAAAUAAAAAAGGUAGAAAUGGGAGAGGUGGGAGUGGAUUCCCACUCCCACCUCCCCCAAUGGGAGUCCCACUCCCACUCCUCACUCCAAAAAUGGGUGGGGUCCACGGAGUGGGACUCCCAAUCUCUCCUCAUUUUAAGUAAGUAAACGCUGGAGUGGGAGGAAUCCACCCUCCUCACUCCCACUCCAACAAGUAAAUACAACAUAAAUGCUGUCAAAUUGUGGUUAUUGUUGAUUGUAUGCUGGUCUUAUGCUUUUCUUUGAAGAAAAGUGAUCGCAUAAUUAUUACGAACAGUGGAGAGUGAUCUUUAUGACCUUAUCAAUGAGUUCAGGAG
rnacentral:lncRNA from 1 species